rnacentral:rRNA from 1 species
GACGAACCGUGCGAACGUUGUUCGGAUUCACUGGGCUUAAAGGGCGCGUAGGCGGGUCGCUAAGUCCGGGGUGAAAGCCCCCAGCUUAACUGGGGAAGUGCCUCGGAUACUGGCGGCCUCGAGGGGGAUAGGGGCCCGCGGAACUUCGGGUGGAGCGGUGAAAUGCGUUGAUAUCCGAAGGAACGCCGGUGGCGAAAGCGGCGGGCUGGAUCCCUUCUGACGCUGAGGCGCGAAAGCCAGGGGAGCAAACGGG